rnacentral:sRNA from 1 species
GCUGGGUGUGGUGGCGCAUGCCUGUAAUCCCAGUGACUCAGAGGCUGAGGCAAGAGGAUUGCAAGUUGGAGGCCAGCCUCAGCAACUUAGCAAGGCCUUAAGCAACUUAGCAAGACCCUGUCUUAA